rnacentral:misc_RNA from 1 species
CUGAGUAAGGGUCUUCUGACCCAACCUCCAACCCCUUGUAUACUACCAAGCCUUUUUUAUGUUGCUUCGGUGGGGCUGUAAUGUCUACCGAAGCACAACAAAAAAAACUCUUCUAAUUGAUGGUGUCUGAGUAAAUUAAGAAAUUAUUA